GUGAAGCAGGUCUGAUCGCCUGUGAAGGCCCGAACCCACUUAUGUUGAAAAAUGAGGGGAUGAGCUGUGGUUAGGGGUGAAAGACCAAUCAAACUCGGAGAUAGCUGGUUCUCCUCGAAAUAGCUUUAGGGUUAGCCUCAAAUGUUUGCCUAUGGAGGUAGAGCACUGAAUGGACUAAGGGCCCCACCAGGUUACUGAACCCAAUCAAACUCCGAAUGCCAUAGGUUUAUAGUUUGGGAGUCAGACUGCGGGGGAUAAGCUCCGUAGUCAAAAGGGAAACAGCCCAGACCAGCAGCUAAGGUCCCCAAGUGCAAGCUAAGUGUGAAAGGAAGUGGAAUUACCGAGACAGCCAGGAUGUUGGCUCAGAGGCAGCCAUCAUUUAAAAAGUGCGUAACAGCUUACUGGUCAAGUGAUUCUGCACCGAAAAAUGUACGGGGCUAAAGUUUGCCACCGAAGCUCUGGAUCCAGAAUUUAUUCUGGGUGGUAGAGGAGCGUUCCUUUAUGGGAUGAAGGGCAACCGUAAGGAUGCCUGGAC
rnacentral:rRNA from 1 species